rnacentral:rRNA from 1 species
AGCGGCGAACGGGUGAGUAACACGUGGGUGACCUGCCCUCCACUCUGGGAUAAGCCCGGGAAACUGGGUCUAAUACCGGAUAGGACCACUGAUCGCAUGGUUGGUGGUGGAAAGUUUUUUCGGUGGGGGAUGGGCCCGCGGCCUAUCAGCUUGUUGGUGGGGUGAUGGCCUACCAAGGCGGUGACGGGUAGCCGGCCUGAGAGGGCGACCGGCCACACUGGGACUGAGACACGGCCCAGACUCCUACGGGAGGCAGCAGUGGGGAAUAUUGCGCAAUGGGCGGAAGCCUGACGCAGCGACGCCGCGUGGGGGAUGACGGCCUUCGGGUUGUAAACCUCUUUCGCCAGGGACGAAGAGCAAUUGACGGUACCUGGAGAAGAAGCACCGGCCAACUACGUGCCAGCAGCCGCGGUAACACGUAGGGUGCGAGCGUUGUCCGGAAUUAUUGGGCGUAAAGAGCUCGUAGGCGGUGUGUCGCGUCGGCCGUGAAAACUUGGGGCUUAACUCUGAGCGUGCGGUCGAUACGGGCAUCACUUGAGUUCGGCAGGGGAGACUGGAAUUCCUGGUGUAGCGGUGAAAUGCGCAGAUAUCAGGAGGAACACCGGUGGCGAAGGCGGGUCUCUGGGCCGAUACUGACGCUGAGGAGCGAAGC